GAUGAACGCUGGCGGCGUGCCUAAUACAUGCAAGUCGAGCGAAUGGAUUAAGAGCUUGCUCUUAUGAAGUUAGCGGCGGACGGGUGAGUAACACGUGGGUAACCUGCCCAUAAGACUGGGAUAACUCCGGGAAACCGGGGCUAAUACCGGAUAACAUUUUGAACCGCAUGGUUCGAAAUUGAAAGGCGGCUUCGGCUGUCACUUAUGGAUGGACCCGCGUCGCAUUAGCUAGUUGGUGAGGUAACGGCUCACCAAGGCAACGAUGCGUAGCCGACCUGAGCGGGGGAUCGGCCACACUGGGACCGAGACACGGCCCAGACUCCUACGGGAGGCAGCAGUAGGGAAUCUUCCACAAUGGACGAAAGUCUGACGGAGCAACGCCGCGUGAGUGAUGAAGGCUUUCGGGUCGUAAAACUCUGUUGUUAGGGAAGAACAAGUGCUAGUUGAAUAAGCUGGCACCUUGACGGUACCUAACCAGAAAGCCACGGCUAACUACGUGCCAGCAGCCGCCGUAA
rnacentral:rRNA from 1 species